UACGUAGGGCGCAAGCGUUAUCCGGAAUUAUUGGGCGUAAAGAGCUCGUAGGCGGUUUGUCGCGUCUGCCGUGAAAGUCCGGGGCUCAACUCCGGAUCUGCGGUGGGUACGGGCAGACUAGAGUGAUGUAGGGGAGACUGGAAUUCCUGGUGUAGCGGUGAAAUGCGCAGAUAUCAGGAGGAACACCAGUGCGAAGGCGGUCUCGCUGGGCCGAUGACUCUGAGGAGCGAAAGCGUGGGGAGCGAACAGG
rnacentral:rRNA from 1 species